UACGAAGGGGGCUAGCGUUGCUCGGAAUCACUGGGCGUAAAGGGCGCGUAGGCGGCCGAUCAAGUCAGGGGUGAAAGCCUGUGGCUCAACCACAGAAUUGCCUUUGAUACUGUUUGGCUCGAGACCGGAAGAGGUUGGUGGAACUGCGAGUGUAGAGGUGAAAUUCGUAGAUAUUCGCAAGAACACCAGUGGCGAAGGCGGCCAACUGGUCCGGGUUCUGACGCUGAGGCGCGAAAAGCGUGGGGGAGCAAACAGGG
rnacentral:rRNA from 1 species